GACGAACGCUGGCGGCGUGCUUAACACAUGCAAGUCGAACGGAAAGGCCCUGCUUUUGUGGGGUGCUCGAGUGGCGAACGGGUGAGUAACACGUGAGUAACCUGCCCUUGACCUUGGGAUAACUUCAGGAAACUGGGGUUAAUACCGGAUAGGAGCUCCUGCUGCAUGGUGGGGGUUGGAAAGUUUCGGCGGUUGGGGAUGGACUCGCGGCUUAUCAGCUUGUUGGUGGGGUAGUGGCUUACCAAGGCUUUGACGGGUAGCCGGCCUGGGAGGGUGACCGGCCACAUUGGGACUGAGAUACGGCCCAGACUCCUACGGGAGGCAGCAGUGGGGAAUAUUGCACAAUGGGCGGAAGCCUGAUGCAGCAACGCCGCGUGCGGGAUGACGGCCUUCGGGUUGUAAACCGCUUUCGCCUGUGACGAAGCGUGAGUGACGGUAAUGGGUAAAGAAGCACCGGCUAACUACGUG
rnacentral:rRNA from 1 species